UACGGAGGGUGCAAGCGUUGUCCGGAAUCACUGGGCGUAAAGGGCGCGUAGGCGGCUCAUGAAGGCUGUGGUGAAAGUCCGGGGCUCAACCUCGGAUCGGCCGUGGCGACUCGUGGGCUGGAGCACUGUAGAGGCGGGUGGAAUUCCGGGUGUAGCGGGGGAAUGCGUAGAGAUCCGGAAGAACACCAGUGGCGAAGGCGGCCCGCUGGGCAGUGGCUGACGCUGAGGCGCGACAGCGUGGGGAGCAAACAGG
rnacentral:rRNA from 1 species